rnacentral:pre_miRNA from 1 species
UAAAUACUCCCUCCAUCCAAAAAUACUUGUCGCAUAAAUGGAUAAAAAUGAAUGUAUCUAGAACUAAAAUACGUCUAGAUACAUCCAUUUCGAUGACAAGUAUUUUCGGACGAAGGGAGUAUAAG